AACGAACGCUGGCGGCAGGCCUAACACAUGCAAGUCGAGCGAGACCUUCGGGUCUAGCGGCGGACGGGUGAGUAACGCGUGGGAAUAUGCCCUUUUCUACGGAAUAGCCUCGGGAAACUGAGAGUAAUACCGUAUACGCCCUUCGGGGGAAAGAUUUAUCGGAGAAGGAUUAGCCCGCGUUGGAUUAGGUAGUUGGUGGGGUAAUGGCCUACCAAGCCUACGAUCCAUAGCUGGUUUGAGAGGAUGAUCAGCCACACUGGGACUGAGACACGGCACAGGCUCCUACGGGAGGCAGCAGUGGGGAAUCUUAGACAAUGGGGGAAACCCUGAUCUAGCCAUGCCGCGUGAGUGAUGAAGGCCUUAGGGUUGUAAAGCUCUUUCAGCUGGGAAGAUAAUGACGGUACCAGCAGAAGAAGCCCCGGCUAACUCCGUGCCAGCCGCCGCUGUAA
rnacentral:rRNA from 1 species